UCUCUUGGUACAUGAGUGGCUACCACACUGGCUACUAUAUGGUUUCCCAGGUGUUGGAGAUCGCACCCUGGGGCUUGGGCAUCCUGGGCAAGCCCCACCACUGAGCUGUAUCUCAGCCUGGCCAGUUUUUGAAGUUUAAUGUUUCGUUGGGUUUCAGACAAAAUAAAAAAGAAGGAAAGUGCUCACAUACAAAUUAAGAAAUAAUCCCGCCACCCCCUCCCAUCUCUCCCGACUGUCUGGAUGACAC
rnacentral:sRNA from 1 species